UACGGGGGGGGCAAGCGUUGUUCGGAAUUACUGGGCGUAAAGGGCUCGUAGGCGGCCAACUAAGUCGGAUGUGAAAUCCCCGGGCUCAACCCGGGAACUGCGUCCGAUACUGGCAGGCUUGAAUCCGGGAGAGGGAUGCGGAAUUCCAGGUGUAGCGGUGAAAUGCGUAGAUAUCUGGAGGAACACCGGUGGCGAAGGCGGCAUCCUGGACCGGCAUUGACGCUGAGGCGCGAAAGCCAGGGGAGCAAACGGG
rnacentral:rRNA from 1 species